rnacentral:rRNA from 1 species
AGUGAACGCUGGCGGUAGGCCUAACACAUGCAAGUCGAACGGCAGCACAGUAAGAGCUUGCUCUUACGGGUGGCGAGUGGCGGACGGGUGAGGAAUACAUCGGAAUCUACUUUUUCGUGGGGGAUAACGUAGGGAAACUUACGCUAAUACCGCAUACGACCUACGGGUGAAAGCAGGGGAUCUUCGGACCUUGCGCGAUUGAAUGAGCCGAUGUCGGAUUAGCUAGUUGGCGGGGUAAAGGCCCACCAAGGCGACGAUCCGUAGCUGGUCUGAGAGGACGAUCAGCCACACUGGAACUGAGACACGGUCCACGCUCCUACGGGAGGCAGCAGUGGGGAAUAUUGGACAAUGGGCGCAAGCCUGAUCCAGCCAUACCGCGUGGGUGAAGAAGGCCUUCGGGUUGUAAAGCCCUUUUGUUGGGAAAGAAAAGCAGCAGGUUAAUACCCCGCUGUUCUGACGGUACCCAAAGAAUAAGCACCGGCUAACUUCGUG